GGGGGGUUAGCUUAAAUUGGUAAGAGCGAA
rnacentral:tRNA from 1 species